AACGGGACGGCUGGCGGCAUGCCUAACGACAUGCAAGUCGAACGAGACCUUCGGCCUAGUGGCGCACGGGUGCGUAACGCGUGGGAAUCUGCCCUUGGGUUCGGAAUAACUCGCCGAAAGGCGUGCUAAUACCGGGUGAUGUCGUAAGACCAAAGAUUUAUCGCCCAGGGAUGAGCCCGCGUAAGAUUAGGUAGUUGGUGAGGUAAAGGCUCACCAAGCCGACGAUCUUUAGCUGGUCUGAGAGGAUGAUCAGCCACACUGGGACUGAGACACGGCCCAG
rnacentral:rRNA from 1 species